rnacentral:rRNA from 1 species
ACGGAGGAGGCAAGCGUUGUCCGGAAUUAUUGGGCGUAAAGAGCGCGUAGGUGGUUUUUCAAGUCAUGUGUGAAAACUUCAGGCUCAACUUGAAGAUUGCACAUGAAACUGGAUAACUUGAGUACAGCAGAGGAAAGUGGAAUUCCUGGUGUAGCGGUGAAAUGCGCAGAUAUCAGGAGGAACACCGGUGGCGAAGGCGGCUUUCUGGGCUGUCACUGACGCUGAGGCGCGAAAGCCAGGGGAGCAAACAGGAUUAGAUACCCUGGUAGUCCUGGCUGUAAACGAUGGACACUAGGUGUGGGAAGUUAUCGACGCUUUCUGUGCCGAAGCUAACGCAUUAAGUGUCCCGCCUGGGGAGUACGGCCGCAAGGCUAAAACUCAAAGGAAUUGACGGGGCCCCGCACAAGCGGCGGAGCAUGUGGCUUAAUUCGACGCAACGCGAAGAACCUUACCAAGGCUUGACAUCAUAUUGAAAGUUGUAGAAAUACAACCCCUCUUCGGAGCAAUAUGACAGGUGGUGCAUGGCU